UGAGUAACCUGCCCUUCACUCUGGGAUAACUCCGGGAAACCGGGGCUAAUACUGGAUAUGACUCGAACAGGCAUCUGUUUCGGGUGGAAAGAUUUAUUGGUGGGGGAUGGACUCGCGGCCUAUCAGCUUGUUGGUGGGGUGAUGGCCUACCAAGGCGACGACGGGUAGCCGGCCUGAGAGGGCGAUCGGCCACACUGGGACUGAGACACCGGCCCAGACUCCGUACGGGAGGCA
rnacentral:rRNA from 1 species